GACAGAGGUGCCGAGCGUUAGGCGGAAUCACUGGGCUUAAAGCGUGUGUAGGCGGGUCGUUAAGUGUCUUGUGAAAUCCCACCGCUCAACGGUGGAACGGCUGGGCAUACUGGCGACCUUGAGAGACCCAGGGGCGAGCGGAACAAGCGGUGGAGCGGUGAAAUGCGUAGAUAUCGGGAAGAACACCCGUGGCGAAGGCGGCUCUCUGGGACGGUACUGACGCUGAGACGCGAAAGCGUGGGGAGCGAACAGG
rnacentral:rRNA from 1 species